rnacentral:sRNA from 1 species
UCUCCCAUCCAAGUACUAACAAGGUCCGACCCUGCUUAUCUUUCGAGAUCAGAUGAGAUCAGGCGUUCAUGGUGGUAUGGC